rnacentral:misc_RNA from 1 species
AUGAUUUUUUAAUUAUUUGUGAACGGUACUACGAAUUAAACAAACAAUAUUUAUAGUCAAAACAAAAAUUAAAUCA